UAGAGUUUGAUCAUGGCUCAGGACGAACGCUGGCGGCGUGCUUAACACAUGCAAGUCGAACGGUGAUGAUGGGGCUUGCCUCGUCUGAUCAGUGGCGAACGGGUGAGUAACACGUGAGUAACCUGCCCCAGACUCUGGGAUAACCCCGGGAAACCGGAGCUAAUACCGGAUAUGACACCAACUCGCAUGGGUAUGGUGUGGAAAGUUUUUCGGUCUGGGAUGGGCUCGCGGCCUAUCAGCUUGUUGGUGGGGUAGUGGCCUACCAAGGCGACGACGGGUAGCCGGCCUGAGAGGGUGACCGGCCACACUGGGACUGAGACACGGCCCAGACUCCUACGGGAGGCAGCAGUGGGGAAUAUUGCGCAAUGGGCGAAAGCCUGACGCAGCGACGCCGCGUGGGGGAUGACGGCCUUCGGGUUGUAAACCUCUUUCAGCUCCGACGAAGCGAAAGUGACGGUAGGAGCAGAAGAAGCACCGGCCAACUACGUGCCAGCAGCCGCGGUAGCCCAAUCGCC
rnacentral:rRNA from 1 species